GAUCAGGAGCAUCAAAGGAUGUGAAAAAGAGCUCAGACCUUCUCCGUGCUGUCCUGCACACCUGCAGAGCCUUUCACUCAGCCAGCGAUGUGUGGUUCAGCAUGUACAUUCUCAGCUGCACACCACAUGGGCAAUAUUGUGUCCUUCUCCAGGUAUCACAACCACAGGGGCUGAUCAGUUCCCCGGCCCAGGCCCGCCAAGUCGG